GCUUCACCGCUUGGCGCUUCUCCCCUCCCCCUCCUUUGAACUGAAUUCGCGGGAAAGGGCCGCUCGCCCUCCGGCGCGGGGCAUGCUGGGUAGGGCCGCCCGCCCGCCGCCCGCCCGCCCCUGCGCGCCCGCCCGCGCCGCGCUCCGCGGGGCCCCGCGCCCGCCGCGGGCCGCCCCCGUCUGCCCCGGCGCCUGCGGGGAGCCGGCGUCCCGCUCGCCCGAGGGGGGCGUCGUUGAAGGAGCCGCAGCCGCGUCUCGGUUGUAAAUCGGGCUCGGUUCUGUGGUAAAAACGGCCGCGCUGGGUCGGACCCGGCCCGCGAGGCUUCCUCAGAGGACGGGACGGGACGGGACGGGGGUGCGCGCGGGGGCGGGGCGGCCCGAAGCCUGAGCGGACUUUCCGGUGAUGCUUCUGUUGCACUGGGUGUUUGCCAGUCUUCUGAAGACUUGCAGACUAGAAAGCAACAGCAUGUAAAAUGAAGAGUAUCUUCAAGCAGUCAAAGCUUGAUCUUGAGGGAACUAAGAAAAUGAACUUCACUGUAAAGGGAACAGCGUUACUGAAGCACGGCAAAGGGAAGAGCGAAGAUCUUACGUAGCAGGGCAAGUGCUGUGGUGCAUGGCUAUGAAUACAGCAUGUGUGGGAGAUUGACAGAGCAGCCACUUGUGAUUCUCAUUCAUGUAUUUGGCUGGGGACUGCUUUUGUGCAGAGCUGUUCAAAUGUAUUUCAGGAACAGUACUCAAGGAACCUGGCCCUCAGGGAAUCUUAAUGCCCCCAUAAUGCACCACUUUUGGUGAGCAGGUUGCUUACAUGUCUGACUUACUGUAGGGAGUGAAAAGUGAAUGCACAGAGUGUUUUGCAUUGCUGAAUCACUUUUCUUCUGAAUUCAUAUGGUGAAUAGUAAGUGAUAAUUAUUACUCAGUCAUUAUUGCUCAGUAGAAAUCUGUGCCACUGCUCUGGAGUUGUUUCUUGGAGUUCUCUUAGUGGUAUUUUGAUACAUCUUUCCUGACUUUUCUACAGUAAAAUGUGUUUCCUGAUCUUCAGUUAAUGAUUUAUUUCUGCACGGUGGUUUUUAUUGGUAUAGUUUAUCUUUAGCGUUUAGAUAGUGGACUAAAAAUAUCAAAAUUGUUUCAAAAGCAUUAUGAAAAGCUCAAGCCCAAUAUAUUAAUUUGCUCUAGAAAAGUAACAUAUCUGUUAAGAUGAUUCAUCUGUAAGCCCAGAUGUCUACUAACAGUAACAGCAUUCAUCACAGAAAAAUACACAGUGAAUUAAAAAAAAAAAGGUUUAUAAUGUAAACAUGUUCAGUCCAGGAUAACAUUCACUUAGUUUUGAAGAAAAGUCUGAAACAAGAUUUUUAUUCAUAUAAGCUCUUAUCAAAAUCAGAAGUAGGUGUCCUGUAAAAGGAGAAUGAGGUAGUGUUAUUCAACUCUGUUAAAACCCGAAUAAACUCCAUGUGCCACCGAAGACCCCAUAGGCAGGAAGGGGACUUGGGGGGGCUCUGUGCUGAAGGUGGAAUGCCAUUGCUCACUUCAGCUCCCACAGCACUUGGAACAGACCUUAAGCUGCCCUGUCUAUGUUAAACUGUCUUGGAGCCCUUCAUUUCGAGUUUCUUAAUCAAAAUUGUAAUUGUUUGAACAAGCUGCUUGAGGUGAGGUGGAUAAAAAUUCUCAUCCCUUUAGCCUUGGAGCAAUUGCGGAUUUUUGUCAUGGCUUAACCAAGGUGUUGCUUUUCUUAACUUGAACUCCAGAAAAGAAAAAUGUUUGCUUUUAGGGUCUUAAUCUAGAGAUUUUUGCCUUUUUUACAGAUCUAUAGAUCUGUAUAUGCUAAAUUCAGGGAAAAAAGAUUAUAAAGUUUAAUGUAUGACUCCCCCCAAAAUACACAGCAAAAUCUCAUGCCAAAUCAUGAUGUAUAAACGUUAUUUAACACAGGAAAAAAGGAAUAGGGAUCAUGCUAGUUCAUACUGUAAUUUUAAAGAUCCACCAUGUGUGGUACUUACUACAAAACUAUCCUAAAAUAACUCUAAGUGAGCUUUCAGGAACUGUAUUCUCUUAAUCAAGUCAUGAAAACAGUGAAGAUACGGCAACUGAAAAAAUGAGGCUUUUGAUGCAAACUUAAUGAUUAAACUCAGAAGUGCAGAGAUCAAAGAGAAACCGCUGGGAAGAUGUGAGGAUUAAGUCAGUUACACAUGUGAACAGAAGUUUCUCACCUUAAGGUCUGUUGACAGUGCAGGAACGAAAGCUUCAAUCAAUCAAAAAAAAAAGGAGGAUCAAAGAACAUGUCAAUAGAUAGUAAAAAUGAAACCUCUAAUUAGUCAAAAGAUAAAUUAAUUUUAGCUUUAAGUAAAGGAUAAGAUUUGAUACUCAGGGAUCAAAAUUCUUUCUUUUGUGGCUGAGCAGUGUACAGGCUAGUAAGAGGAGAAUUUUUUAAUUUUAUUAUCAGCAGUGACUUAAAUGAGAAGAUCAGGGCAGAAACUAUUCUCCUAAUGUUUCCCAGCUUGCCAGCUGUACAAAAUUCACACACAUGAAAGCUUAUCCAAACAUUUCCUGAGAAAGUUAACAUUUUCUGAGGUUUUGUGUGCUAGCGGUUGCUUCAGAAGGCAUUUACAAGUAUUUAGUUUGUUUUCUAAGUGCUGUUUGGGGUGUAUGAUUCUGCACACUAUAAUCUAAAUUAUCCAUACUUCCAGAAGUAGUUUUACUGGGUUUCCACAUGCCUGUUGCCGUGACUGGUCAAAGUACUUUACCAAACAAAGCAAAGCUCCGUGGCAGGAGGUGAGAAACAGCAGGAGGAAAUUGUGACCGAGAAUUAUAAAAUACCACUCCUUUUCCCACCUUUUGGGAGGAGAAAUAAAUCUGUAUCUGAUGCAGUUUAUGCUCUUUGGCAUUCCAGUUUAAUUGACGCUGGUACUGACAUCUUUGUAUUUAAACAAUGCAAGGCUUCGCUCUGAGGAAGUUCUUAUCUCCACCUGUAUUGUUACUUAGGUUAUGGCUAGGCAACCCAAGGCCAGGCCACAGUUUUACUCAUUCUCAGCACCUAGACAGAUUAGUGAGAUAAAUUAAGAUUAGCAAGACUCUGUUCUACAGAGCUCUGGCAACACUCCUAAAUGAAAAUGUAUGUGCAAGAAAUAAUAUUAAAUUAAAGGUCACUAAGCAAUGCGUUCCAUGGUGUUGACAAUUUGGGAGUGUGUAGGAGAUGACUGAUCUAGUUUUAAAUUGUUGAAAUGUGACUGUGGCAUUCCACCUGAUUAUGAAUUAUCAACUGGAAUAUGAUCAUUCAUAGUUAUAACUAUCCCACCGCAUUUAGACAGAAUGUCAACUACCUCCUACCCAGCCAAAUGCCAACAUCAAAUUAAAAGGCAUACUUACAGCCACUACUGUUCAAGCCCCUAGAUAAACAGAUGGAUCUGGUACUGAGUACGGGAUGUGAAUUGGCAAGGAAGCAAUUCCAGAGGCAUAAUUCCCCUUCACUGAAAAUUCCCUGUGUAUAGAUGUUCAUAUCUUGGGGCAACUGAGAAGAAACAGAUUGUCUGAAAACAACUAGGAGGAAAUCUGAUUCAUAAAAGUUCAGGUUCAGAGCCAGUGGAGAGAAGCAAGUAAAGCUCUUGCCUUUUUUGAGAGACUGUGUAUAAGGGUAAAUUGUCUGAUAGUACUGUUAAGGCAUUGGAUGAAAGCGCUGUUACGUUUAUUUUUACUGAUAAAAUUGAAGAGAUAAGUGAGUAAAUGAAAUUCUGAGAAGCAUUCACAUGUAAUGCUGCUGGAUAAGCGCCAACAAGCUGCAGGAGCGGAGCGCUGCAUUGAAACAGGCAUUUAUCUGUCAGAAUGGCAUCAGUAACAUUCAUCUAGGACAGGUACAGCGUUAAUGUAGGUAUGCAUCAGACUAAUUGGCCAAUUGCACAGUCUUAAAAUACAUUUUUGGAGGCUCAGAGUUGAAAUGCAGUUUUGGAACCACUGUUUAUGCUUAUUGACUGUUAGGGUUAGCAGAUGCAAAACUGAAUGAUCCUGCAGGAGUUCAACAUAGGCCAAAGUUUGGGUUAGUCUGUUUUUGAGAGUAUGUUCCAAGCUGCUUUAUUAAUAUAUGUGUUCAUAUAUUUUUUUAAACCAAAGCUCCACAUUCUCAGUAAAUUCUUUGAGGGUUUUGCUAGACAAGUGUUCCUAAGGAUGAACCACUGGCCCAGAUGAAGUCAGUGAAAGUUUUCCAGUUAUUUUCAUCGGGUCCCAAUAUCACUCUCAUUGUUUAAAAGUUCAUCUUCAUACAGUUUCAGUUAAUUGUAAUAUACUGUACAUCUGCUGGCAUUUUCUGAAAAAUCAUAAUUGUUUAUACACUCAUCUAGUGAACCAGUAGAAAUAAAUAAAAUAGAUAUAUCUAAAUCAGUUCAUCAUUUGAAUAUUUUCUUUAUGCACAUUAACCUUCAUGCAUUUUAAUAUAGAUAAACCUUAAAUCAAAAUCAAGCAAAACCACUGUUAUUAUUCCUUAUUCACAAUAUAUUGUGAAUAUAUAUAUGAACAAAAUAUAAUACAUAAUUUCAUUUC